CUCCGACCCUGACACCUGGACAGUAGGCUGCGAUAUUGGAAUCGUUGAGCCUGAAAAAUUCUGUGAUCCGAGAGGACGAUUUUCGGAAUGUCGGUCAGAAUUCGCCGAAUGUAAGCCAGCCAAUGUGAUCACAGGGCAGUACCAGUGUCAAUGCAAGCUAGGGUACACUCAGCUGCCAGCUAAACCCAACCCAGAUUACGUCUACGACUGUGUGAAAGUAAUUUCAAAGCAUUCCGAUAUCAACUGUCACUGGUGUGACAUGAGAGGUGGUACCUGCAUUGACCGAGACCUGG